GACGUAGGGGGCCAGCGUUGUUCGGAAUUACUGGGUGUAAAGGGUUCGUAGGCGGUGUGGCAAGUCGGGAGUGAAAUCUCUGGGCUCAACUCAGAGACUGCUUCCGAAACUGCUGUGCUGGAGUGUGGGAGAGGCGCGUGGAAUUGCAGGUGUAGCGGUGAAAUGCGUAGAUAUCUGCAGGAACACCCGUGGCGAAAGCGGCGCGCUGGACCACUACUGACGCUGAGGAACGAAAGCUAGGGGAGUAAACAGG
rnacentral:rRNA from 1 species